UACGAAGGGGGCUAGCGUUGCUCGGAUUGACUGGGCGUAAAGGGCGCGUAGGCGGUUCGUACAGUCAGACGUGAAAUUCCUGGGCUCAACCUGGGGGCUGCGUUUGAUACGUGCGGACUUGAGUGCGGAAGAGGGUCGUGGAAUUCCCAGUGUAGAGGUGAAAUUCGUAGAGAUUGGGAGGAACACCAGAGGCGAAGGCGGCGACCUGGACAAGCACUGACACUCAACUGCGAAAGCGUGGGUAGCAAACAGG
rnacentral:rRNA from 1 species